rnacentral:rRNA from 1 species
AUUGAACGCUGGCGGCAGGCCUAACACAUGCAAGUCGAACGAGUGGCGGACGGGUGAGUAAUGUCUGGGAAACUGCCCGAUGGAGGGGGGUAACUACUGGAAACGGUAGCUAAUACCGCAUACCAUCGGAUGUGCCCAGAUGGUAUUAGCUUGUAGGUGAGGUAACGGAUCACCUAGGCGACGAUCCCUAGCUGGUCUGAGAGGAUGACCAGCCACACUGGAACUGAGACACGGUCCAGACUCCUACGGGAGGCAGCAGUGGGGAAUAUUGCACAAUGGGCGCAAGCCUGAUGGAGCCAUGCCGCGUGUGUGAAGAAGGUCUUCGGGUUGUAAAGUACUGUUAGCGGGGAGGCGGUACCCGCAGAGGAAGCACCGGCUAACUCCGUGCCAGCAGCCGCGGUAAUUC